rnacentral:ncRNA from 1 species
AUUUCCUUCGGGAAUCAAAAGGGAAUGUGGUGAAAGUCCACAACAGCUCACUUUACUGUGAAAAGCUACGAAAUUCCGAAUUGCCACUGUCUAUUGAGAUGGGAAGGCAGGAAGACUAGGUUUGACGCUUUACAGUCAGGAUACCUGUCGAGUGACA